GACGAACGCUGGUGGCGUGGAUUAGGCAUGCAAGUCGAACGGUAUCAUCCUUUCGGGGGUGAGAGAGUGGCGAACUGGUGAGUAACACGUAGGUUAUCUACCCUCAAGACGGGACAACCCAGGGAAACUUGGGCUAAUACCGGAUGUGAGCAACUUUUAGUUGUUUGAAAGGUGGCGUAAGCUGUCGCUUGGGGAUGAGCCUGCGUCCUAUUAGUUAGUUGGUGAGGUAACGGCUCACCUAGGCAAUGAUAGGUAGGCGGCCUUAACGGGUGGUCGCCCACACUGGGAUUGAGAUACGGCCCAGACUCCUACGGGAGGCAGCAGUCGAGAAUAGUCUACAAUGGUCGGAAGACUGAUAGUGCGACGCCGCGUGAACGAUGAAUCCCUUCGGGGUGUAAAGUUCUUUUAUAUGUGAGCAGUGCUUCUUAUAUUAACAGUAUGGGGAGAGAGAUAUUAGCAUAUGAAUAAGCAACGGCUAACUCCGUG
rnacentral:rRNA from 1 species